GGCCUCUCUCUUUGGGGCGAUCAAUCGUGGAGCACCCCCAUUGAUCACCCUGCAGAGGGUGGCC
rnacentral:pre_miRNA from 1 species